CCUACGGGGGGCAGCAAUUAGGAAUCUUGCGCAAUGGGCGAAAGCCUGACGCAGCGACGUCGCGUGACUGAUGAAGUCUUUCGGGAUGUAAAAGUCUUUUUUGGGGGAAGAAGGAUGUGACGGUACCCCAAGAAUAAGCCCCGGCUAACUACGUGCCAGCAGCCGCGGUAAUACGUAGGGGGCGAGCGUUGUCCGAAUUCACUGGGCGUAAAGCGCGCGUAGGCGGGUUAUUAAGUUAGGGGUGAAAUCCCGAGGCUCAACCUCGGAACUGCCUUUAAAACUGGUAGCCUUGAGGUAUGGAGAGGGAAGUGGAAUUCCUGGUGUAGCGGUGAUAUGCGUAGAUAUCAGGAGGAACACCCGUGGCGAAGGCGGCUUCCUGGCCAUAUCCUGACGCUGAGGUGCGAAAGCUAGGGGAGCGAACG
rnacentral:rRNA from 1 species